rnacentral:rRNA from 1 species
AGUGAACGCUGGCGGCAGGCCUAAUACAUGCAAGUCGAACGGCAGCACAGUAAGCGUUCGCUCUUGCGGGUGGCGACUGGCGGACGGGUAAGGCGUACAUCGGCUUCUAUUUUUUCGUGGGGGACAAUGUAGGGCAAUUUCUGAUACUACCGCAUACGACCUACGGGUUAAAGCAGGGGUUCUUCGGACCUUUCCUGCACUACUGAGCGGAUGUCGGAUUAGCUAGUUGGUGGGGUAAAGGCCCACCAAGGCGAGGAUCCGUAGCUGGCCUGAGAGGAUGAUCGGCCACACUGGAACUGAGACACGGUCCAGACUCCUACGGGAGGCAGCAGUGGGGAAUAUUGGACAAAGGGCGCAAGCCGGACGCAGCCAUACCGCGUGGGUGAGGAAGGCCUUCGGGUUGUAAAGCCCUUUUGUUGGGAAAGAAAAGCGGCAGAUUAAAACCCCGCUGUUCUGACGGUACCCAAAGAGAAAGCACCGGCUAACUACGUG